GGGGGGCGGGGGACACCCAGCUCAGGUGAGAAGCCCGGGACAAGAUGGGGGUGCGGCGCCCGCCCAAGGGUGGACGCUCCUGGGGUCCGGUCUCCUGGCGUCCUGUCUAGACACUCAAGAAAGACUUUUGCAGCACCUACUGCGUGCAGUCGCUGAGGCCGCAGGGGUGAGCGGAGACCUACGCCUCCAGAGGGCACCCAGGGCUCGUGGGAGAGUAGACAAGUACUUGGAGAGAGGCUGGGGACAGGGAAGGAGGAAGCACCUGGACUAUCUGCCAUGGGUGGGAGGUUAUUUUUAUGAAUGAAUGGGUGGGUGAAUGAAUGAAUGAAUGAAUGAAUGAAUAUGAGUUUCUGCUAUUUGCGGACCUCCUCCAAAUGUUGUAGGCCAGAUGAGAAAGGAGUGGCCCGGGCAUGCCCUUGUGGGUCACUGCAGGACCUCUUCAGCCAGCUCCAGGAAGUUUCAAUGAAGGUGGAAUUACCACGCAUCUCACCCAGGCAGCCAGUGAGCUAAGGAAAACUAUGGAACCGUCCAUCUGUAGAGCUCAGAGCUAGCUCUGGCACAUGGCAGAUGUCAUGAAUGGUUCAUAUUAUGGUAUAUAGUAUGAUGGCCUUUUAGUUUUAUUUUUUACGCGUGUGGGCGUUUUAUCUGCAUGUAUAGACAUAGACAUGCAUCCUGGUGUCCUCUGCACUCGGAAACCCUGGAACUAGAGUUACAGACAUUAUGAGCCACUAUGUGGGUGAACCGGGAUCCUCUGGAAGAGCAGCCAAUGUUCUUAACCUCUGGGCCAUCUCUCCAGCUCUUUGGUAUAAUGUUUAAUCAAUGCAGAUGAUCCUUAGUUUCUUAGAGUCUGGGGACCCUGCACUGUUCCGAUCAAAACCUCGACUCUGAGAAGCCUAGAAUAGGAGGUGUCAGGACAGGAGAAAGGAAAAAGGGGCUCUUCGAAGAGACUGGAGCAAGGUAGCCACGCCCCCACUUCUUAGCGACAGGACAGAGGGCGGGACUUGGCUGAGGAGCUAGUAUCUGGAGGGUGGAGCACUUUGGAUUUCAGGAAUAAAUCUUACUUUUCUCUAAAUCUC
rnacentral:lncRNA from 1 species